AGGACAGCAAGCUCGGAUGAGGAUGAAGGGGUCACAUCGGAAUUCUUAAAGGCGAGAAUCAGUGAGUUGACACACAGAUUGUUGAGGAGGGAGAACUACAGGUGCCAUGUGUGUAUGGCAUCAUACACGGUACCAUUGGCAUCCAUCCAGUGUUGGCACAUUCACUGUGAGGAAUGUUGGCUCCGCACCCUGGGUUCAAAGAAGCUGUGCCCGCAGUGUAACGCUAUCACUUCCCCCCAUGAUCUGCGGAGGAUCUACCUGUAGAUGGACUUCUCUACCGGGUCAAUGGCCACCAACUGCCCGAGGAUCCCAUCCCACCUUCCUUCCUGAAGAAUGGCCUCCACUAACCCAGGGGACCACGUGAAUCCUGCCCCUGUUAGAUGGACCAAGACUCAGUGCCGGCUAUACUCCCGCAGUGACCACAAUGA